UACGUAGGGUGCGAGCGUUAAUCGGAAUUACUGGGCGUAAAGCGUGCGCAGGCGGUUUUGUAAGCCAGAUGUGAAAUCCCCGGGCUCAACCUGGGAAUGGCAUUUGGGACUGCAAGGCUGGAGUACGGCAGAGGAGACUGGAAUCCUGGUGUAGCAGUGAAAUGCGUAGAUAUCAGGAGGAAUACCGAUGGCGAAGGCAGGUCUCUGGGCUGAUACUGACGCUCGAUG
rnacentral:rRNA from 1 species